rnacentral:lncRNA from 1 species
CUGAACAAAGUUUUGCAAAAGGUCAACACCACAUUGUCAUUCUGUCAUACACUUCAUACAGGAAAGCAUUACACUAGAUCAUGUUGCAUUCCUUUUUUGUGUAAUGUAAGUUGGUGGCAUAGUAGCAGUGCUUUUAGCUAGAGUUUCUGAAAUUGCUAAGGCUUCAUUUUCCACAUGUCCUUUCUUCCAAAUUUAUAGCUAUGGAACAAAUUGUGUCCUUUCUUCCACAUUUAUAAGAUUGAUUGAUCUGCAAAAAACAAAGAACACUUUAAUAAAUAUAUUAUAUAUGCGCUUGUCAUGAAUUCUCGUUGUAUAUAAUGCCUAAACAAUACUACUUGCUUAAUCAGGACGGUGAGGCGGCUAAACUGAACAGAGUGGGGUUAAGUCCAUAAGUGCCUUGCCUGCAGCUGACUUGCAACAUUUUCCCUGUUGAGUCUGUCAACAUUCAUUCUUUCUUUCGGAGAAACUUUUGGUUGUGUUGUGUGCUUGUGUGUAGGCGUACAUUGGUCUGAUCAUGUAGUGCAUGUGUGUAACACCCGGCUUUAAGGAACAAAGCCAGGUGCAUCUCAUACAUGCGCCAAGAAGACAACAUAUAUAAU